ACCUGAGAGGGGGGCGGGGUUUAUGCCAGGUGCGUGCUGAUUGGUUGGCUUCAAUCAGCAGAAACUCACCUGAGUUGCUCCUCCUCCUCCUCCUCCUCCUCUGGUCUGUGGAUGAAGAUGAACUCUCAGCUCCCUGAACACAAAACAUCAAACAGACAGGAAGUCGGCCUACCUUGGUUCCUCACGGCCUCCAGGUUCUUGGUAAUCAUUGCAAACAAAACCCUGGAA